rnacentral:tRNA from 1 species
UGGGGAGUCGGCUAACGGUAAGCCAUCAGACUUUGGAUCUGAGUAUCCAGGUUCGAUUCCUGGCUCCCCAG